rnacentral:rRNA from 1 species
AGAGUUUGCUCCUGGCUCAGGACGAACGCUGGCGGCGCGCCUAACACAUGCAAGUCGAACGAGCGAGAGAGAGCUUGCUUUCUCGAGCGAGUGGCGAACGGGUGAGUAACGCGUGAGGAACCUGCCUCAAAGAGGGGGACAACAGUUGGAAACGACUGCUAAUACCGCAUAAGCCCACGACCCGGCAUCGGGUUGAGGGAAAAGGAGCAAUCCGCUUUGAGAUGGCCUCGCGUCCGAUUAGCUAGUUGGUGAGGUAAUGGCCCACCAAGGCGACGAUCGGUAGCCGGACUGAGAGGUUGAACGGCCACAUUGGGACUGAGACACGGCCCAGACUCCUACGGGAGGCAGCAGUGGGGAAUAUUGCACAAUGGGGGAAACCCUGAUGCAGCGACGCCGCGUGGAGGAAGAAGGUCUUCGGAUUGUAAACUCCUGUUGUUGAGGAAGAUAAUGACGGUACUCAACAAGGAAGUGACGGCUAACUACGUGCCAGCAGCCGCGGUAAAACGUAGGUCACAAGCGUUGUCCGGAAUUACUGGGUGUAAAGGGAGCGCAGGCGGGAAGACAAGUUGGAAGUGAAAUCUAUGGGCUCAACCCAUAAACUGCUUUCAAAACUGUUUUUCUUGAGUAGUGCAGAGUAGGCGGAAUUCCCGGUGUAGCGGUGGAAUGCGUAGAUAUCGGGAAGAACACCAGUGGCGAAGGCGGCCUACUGGGCACCAACUGACGCUGAGGCUCGAAAGUGUGGGUAGCAAACAGGAUUAGAUACCCUGGUAGUCCACACCGUAAACGAUGAUUACUAGGUGUUGGAGGAUUGACCCCUUCAGUGCCGCAGUUAACACAAUAAGUAAUCCACCUGGGGAGUACGACCGCAAGGUUGAAACUCAAAGGAAUUGACGGGGGCCCGCACAAGCAGUGGAGUAUGUGGUUUAAUUCGACGCAACGCGAAGAACCUUACCAAGUCUUGACAUCCCUUGACGAACAUAGAAAUAUGUUUUCUCUUCGGAGCAAGGAGACAGGUGGUGCAUGGUUGUCGUCAGCUCGUGUCGUGAGAUGUUGGGUUAAGUCCCGCAACGAGCGCAACCCUUACUGUCAGUUACUACGCAAGAGGACUCUGGCAGGACUGCCGUUGACAAAACGGAGGAAGGUGGGGAUGACGUCAAAUCAUCAUGCCCUUUAUGACUUGGGCUACACACGUACUACAAUGGCGUUAAACAAAGAGAAGCAAGACCGCGAGGUGGAGCAAAACUCAGAAACAACGUCCCAGUUCGGACUGCAGGCUGCAACUCGCCUGCACGAAGUCGGAAUUGCUAGUAAUCGUGGAUCAGCAUGCCACGGUGAAUACGUUCCCGGGCCUGUACACACCGCCCGUCA